UCAAGUGACGAAGCGCAUACGGUGGAUGCCUAGGCGGUAGGAGGCGAUGAAGGACGUGGUAGCCUGCGAAAAGCCUCGGGGAGCUGGCAAACAAGCAUUGAUCCGGGGGUAUCCGAAUGGGAAAACCCACCCCUCACCUAGAAGCUUUUGGGCGUAGAGGCCUGAGAGGGGAAGCGCGAAGAGCUUCUAGGUGAGGGGUAUCGCACACUGAAUCCAUAGGUGUGCGAGGCUAACCCGGGGAACUGAAACAUCUAAGUACCCGGAGGAAAAGAAAUCAACCGAGAUUCCCUUAGUAGCGGCGAGCGAACCGGGAGCAGCCCUUAAGUCCCGUUACUUUUAGUAGAACAGUCUGGAAAGUCUGGCCACAGAAGGUGAUAGCCCUGUAUACGAAAAAAGUAGCGGGAUGAAAUCGAGUAAGGCGGGACACGUGAUAUCCUGUCUGAACAUGGGGGGACCAUCCUCCAAGGCUAAAUACUCCCUACCGACCGAUAGUGAACCAGUACCGUGAGGGAAAGGCGAAAAGAACCCCGUAGAGGGGAGUGAAAUAGAACCUGAAACCGUAUGCGUACAAACAGUCGGAGCCCCUCACCUAGAUGGUAUUCUGCUGGAGAAUACAACACAGACAUUGAGGUGAAACAACCUUAAGUGAGCACAGUAAUGAGUGAGUGCCAUCUAGGUGAGGGGUGACGGCGUACCUUUUGUAUAAUGGGUCAGCGACUUACUUCUCAGUGGCAAGCUUAACCGAUUAGGGGAGGCGUAGCGAAAGCGAGUCUUAAAUGGGCGCCACAGUCGCUGGGAGUAGACCCGAAACCGGGCGAUCUAUCCAUGGCCAGGGUGAAGGCGCGGUAACACGCGCUGGAGGCCCGAACCGGGUAAUGUUGAAAAAUUAUCGGAUGAGCUGUGGAUCGGAGUGAAAGGCUAAUCAAGCCCGGAGAUAGCUGGUUCUCCCCGAAAGCUAUUUAGGUAGCGCCUCGUGUCUCACUCUCGGGGGUAGAGCACUGUUUCGGCUAGGGGGCCAUCCCGGCUUACCAAACCGAUGCAAACUCCGAAUACCGAGAAGUGCAAUCACGGGAGACACACGGCGGGUGCUAACGUCCGUCGUGGAAAGGGAAACAACCCAGACCGCCAGCUAAGGUCCCUAAAUCACAACUCAGUGGGAAACGAUGUGGGAAGGCCCAGACAGCCAGGAGGUUGGCUUAGAAGCAGCCAUCCUUUAAAGAAAGCGUAAUAGCUCACUGGUCAAGUCGGCCUGCGCGGAAGAUUCAACGGGGCUUAAGUUGUGUACCGAAGCUGCGGAUGCCCGAUCCUCGGAUCGGUGCAUGGUAGGGGAGCGUUCCGUAAGCCUGCGAAGGCGGAUCGAGAGGUCCGCUGGAGGUAUCGGAAGUGCGAAUGCUGACAUGAGUAACGAUAAAGGGGGUGAAAGGCCCCCUCGCCGAAAGCCCAAGGUUUCCUGCGCGACGCUAAUCGACGCAGGGUUAGUCGGCCCCUAAGGCGAGGCCGAAAGGCGUAGUCGAUGGGAAGCAGGUUAAUAUUCCUGCACCAUUCAUUACUGCGAUGGGGGGACGAAGAAGGCUAGGUCAGCCAGCUGUUGGUUGCUGGUUUAAGCGUGUAGGGAGUCACCUUAGGAAAAUCCAGGGUGGCAAUUCCAAGGCGUGACGACGAGUCUCUACGGAGAUGAAGUGAUUGAUGCCAGGCUUCCAGGAAAAGCCUCUAAGCUUCAGGUAAUGAGUGACCGUACUCCAAACCGACACAGGUGGGCAGGGUGAGAAUCCCAAGGCGCUUGAGAGAACUCUGGUGAAGGAACUAGGCAAAAUAGUACCGUAACUUCGGGAGAAGGUACGCCCCCGGUACGUGAAGGCCCUGCGGCCGGAGCGGAAAGGGGUUGCAGUGACCAGGUGGCUGCGACUGUUUACUAAAAACAUAGCACUCUGCAAACUCGAAAGAGGACGUAUAGGGUGUGACGCCUGCCCGGUGCCGGAAGGUUAAGUGAUGGGGUUACCCCUCACCUAGAUCAUCUAGCAAGCCGCAUGUUCUAUAUCUAUGUGCUUUACAGUGAGCGAUUUGACGAGUUUUAUCUUGGAUCGACGCGUGAUCUGAGAAGGCGAGUUGAAGCGCAUCGAUCUGGGAUGAACAGAUCGACACGAAAGGCAGAUGAUUGGAUAGUUUCCUAUUAUGAAGUCUAUCUGACAGAACAGGCGGCAAGCGAGCGAGAAGCGAACUUGAAGCGAAGUGGCAAAGCGUAUCACAGCUUAAAGGUGCGCAUACGCAGAAGCUUAGAUGCUCUAGGUGAGGGGGAAGCUCUUGACCGAAGCCCCGGUAAACGGCGGCCGUAACUAUAACGGUCCUAAGGUAGCGAAAUUCCUUGUCGGGUAAGUUCCGACCUGCACGAAUGGCGUAACGAUGGCCACGCUGUCUCCACCAGAGACUCAGUGAAAUUGAAAUCUCGGUCAAGAUGCCGAGUACCCGCGGCUAGACGGAAAGACCCCGUGAACCUUUACUACAGCUUCACACGGGACUUUGAACCUACUUGUGUAGGAUAGGUGGGAGGCUUUGAAGCGGUGACGCCAGUUGCCGUGGAGCCAUCCUUGAAAUACCACCCUGGUAUGUUUGGAGUUCUAACCUCGGUCCGUGAUCCGGAUCAGGGACAGUGUGUGGUGGGUAGUUUGACUGGGGCGGUCUCCUCCCAAAGCGUAACGGAGGAGCACGAAGGUACCCUCAGCGCGGUCGGAAAUCGCGCACUGAGUGCAAAGGCAAAAGGGUGCUUGACUGCGAGACAGACAAGUCGAGCAGGUGCGAAAGCAGGUCUUAGUGAUCCGGUGGUUCUGUAUGGAAGGGCCAUCGCUCAACGGAUAAAAGGUACUCCGGGGAUAACAGGCUGAUACCGCCCAAGAGUUCAUAUCGACGGCGGUGUUUGGCACCUCGAUGUCGGCUCAUCACAUCCUGGGGCUGAAGUCGGUCCCAAGGGUAUGGCUGUUCGCCAUUUAAAGUGGUACGCGAGCUGGGUUUAGAACGUCGUGAGACAGUUCGGUCCCUAUCUGCCGUGGGCGUUCGAGACUUGAGGGAAGCUGCUCCUAGUACGAGAGGACCGGAGUGGACGUACCUCUGGUGUUCCGGUUGUCACGCCAGUGGCACUGCCGGGUAGCUAUGUACGGACGGGAUAACCGCUGAAAGCAUCUAAGCGGGAAGCCCCUCCCAAGAUAAGGUCUCGCUGGACCCUUGAGGUCCCUGAAGGUCCGUCGAAGACGACGACGUUGAUAGGCGGGAUGUGGAAGCACGGUAACGUGUGAAGCUAACCCGUACUAAUUGACCGUGCGGCUUGACCAU
rnacentral:rRNA from 1 species